rnacentral:rRNA from 1 species
AACGGAGGGGGCAAGCGUUAUUCAUCGUAAUUGGGCGUAAAGGGUAUGUAGGCGAUUUGUUGUAUUGUAGUGUUAAAAGCCAUAUAUUCAUAUGGUAGGAGUUGCAAUAUAAAAUUCGGAAAUUACGAGGUUGGCAGAAUUACUAAUGUAGAGGUAAAAUUCGGAAAUAUUAGUAGGAAUACCAAAGGCGAAAGCAGCCUUCUUGUGUUUUUGACGCUGAUGUACUAAAGCAUGGGGAUCAAACAGG